rnacentral:tRNA from 1 species
GGAUGGUUAACUCAGUUGGUAGAGCGCUUCGUUUACAUCGAAGAUGUCACAGGUUCGAGUCCUGUACCGUCCA